CUAAGGACAAUAUAUGGGGGAGCCACAUUGCUCUUCCCAAACGAUGCUGUAGUCCUAUAAGCCCAUGUAGCAGACCCUCCAAAGGACAUUUUUCACUUUCAGUGUUUGUACUAAGGUGCUAAUGAAGGAGAUAAAUUUCGCUGAUCAGUUGUUCUGCAGCCGGGUGGUUGUGAAGGACCCAGCUCAGGUCUCUGCACUACCUCAGUUGCAGUGUCCCAGGACAGCAACACUUACUCUCCGUGGGAUUCCCACCACCCUACCCAGUCCUCCAGCUGCAUCUCUGAAAAUACCUGAAAGGUUGGGGGGGUAUUUUAUUUUUUAUUUUUACUGCAACACGGAGAAACAAAUGAUAAGUCAUGAUAAGUUACUACAGAAUGGAUUUACUGCACCCUCAGUCGUCUCUCAAAGCUGCUGCAAAGGGCUGUGUUUAUUGUUGGGUUAGUUGGCUUGUUUGUUUUAAGAUGACUCAUUCUAACAAUUUUGCAAGAGCCCUAAGAUGGAGGCACGUUCCUCAGAAUUAAGCAAGCAGCCAAGGCCAACUGAAAUGUUUUUACAAGGUAUUUGUUCACGUGCACAGGAAUGUAUGACUGUCUUAUAGUUAGAUUUCACAUGGCAAAGUCUAGAAACAAAAGUUGCCUGUUUGUGCCAUAAUUAUGUAUAGGGCUGUUUUAAAAAGUUAUUCAGUACAUAGAAUAUUUCUGUGCUGGUUUACAGAACUGUUCAAAAACAUUGUCAAAGAGGCUGCAGAUGCUUUUGAUCCCAAUAUAAUUUUCAACUUAAUGUUUUUGAUAACUUCUAUGGGCAUAGCUAUCACAAGAUCUCAAUCUGAGAUUUUUCCAUCAUAUAAAAUAUAAAUAGCUUUUUUGUGUAUAUUUUGUCUAAUAGUUUGACCCCAUACAUUAUCAUAAUGUUUUAUAAGUUUGAUUUUAGUCCUCCAGAUUUAUCUAUGGGACUGUUUUUAUGUGAAGCCCACUACUAGAGUUGUGGACUUCAACUUCUGAGUACAAGUGUCAGAUAAUCUGUUGUUUAUAUGUAUGAACUGUGAUAGCUUCUUUACCACCAAAAGAAGGUUGUGACCAUCUCUCCCUUCCCCAUCAGAAUUUCACCUAUUUAAACUACAGUUAGAGGAACUUAAAUCGACAAAUCCCCUUCAUCACAUUCACUGACAAGUGUGUAAUUGCCUUCUUACCAUAAGCACAAUGGCUUGCAGGAUGGUUUUUGUUUGCAAGAGUAAGCUGUGUCAUCUUCAAGGACAUGCAUUUAUCAGGCUGCAGUGCUGUUACCUAGUUACACAGACUUUUGUCAGAUCUUGAUGUGGUUAAUGAAGGUGUCUUUUUUUUUUUUUUCACAAAACUUGACAUAGGCUUUUUAUCAAUUUUCUUUGAGGUAUGUUGUAAUCUUUUAAAUAUAUUUGAAGGGCAGUGGUAUAAUAAAUAACCCUAACCUCAAAAUAGUGAUCUCUAAUUAACAUUGACUCUGAUGUAGAUGGUCUUGCCCUAGGGAAAAAAUAGUUCAAGCAGUGUUUUCUUCCUACUUUGAAAUGGUUCUGAGGGAACAGACCCUUACAUAUUUCUUUUAAAAUCUUUCAUCAUUUAGCUUUUAUAAUUGCAGGUAUUAUUCACUCAAGAAUGUAAUCAUUGAUUGCUUUCUAGUCCUCAUUCUGGAUUUUGUUACCAUAGCUUUUGCUUGUUUUGCCUUAAUCAGAGGUCUCCUAUACUGUUGCUGAUCAGAGUUUGUGGUGACUAUGUUUUUACUGCUGACCUUGAUGAUAUUGGCAGUGAGGUUCACUGUAUUAUUUCAACUGGAAAAUUAAAGCGUGAAUAAUACCUUCUGUGUUGUAAUUUUUCUUUAAUCUUUACCCAGCUGUAAUUAGAUGCCGGGAUUUAGUGUCUCGUAACAGCAGGGCCCAGGUUUCACACCAGGUCAUCCUGGUCGAAGAGGGGCUGCUUGCACCAGCCUCCUUUCUGGCUACAUUGCUGGACCUAGACCUGAGCUCUGCAGACUGUCUCCACACAUGUGGUAGCUUCCACAGCCGGCGCUGAUUGUUAGAAUCUGAUGCAGCCCUCGUCUCUUCUAGACCUUCCUGAUCCUCCUGUGACGAAGCAACUGCAGUUGUCUAAGGAAGCGUACCAGACCCAGCCUGCCGCAGUGCUUGCGAGUAACACCAUGCUGUGAAGCCUGUGGAAAGCCCUUGCUGGAAGCCAAAAGCAAGCUUGCAGAGAGCUGAUAAAAGACAGACUCUACCUCAUCAGCAGCUUUGGGCUGCGUGGCUUCACUGAUGCUGGGUUUUGGACUCCAUCCCAGAGCUUGAUGCUUUCAGGUUCAUUCAGGAAGAUUUGCUUUCAGGUAUCCCAGGCCCCUGAGACAAG